GACGAACGCUGGCGGCGUGCCUAAUACAUGCAAGUUGAGCGCUGAAGGUUGGUACUUGUACCAACUGGAUGAGCAGCGAACGGGUGAGUAACGCGUGGGGAAUCUGCCUUUGAGCGGGGGACAACAUUUGGAAACGAAUGCUAAUACCGCAUAAAAACUUUAAACACAAGUUUUAAGUUUGAAAGAUGCAAUUGCAUCACUCAAAGAUGAUCCCGCGUUGUAUUAGCUAGUUGGUGAGGUAAAGGCUCACCAAGGCGAUGAUACAUAGCCGACCUGAGAGGGUGAUCGGCCACAUUGGGACUGAGACACGGCCCAAACUCCUACGGGAGGCAGCAGUAGGGAAUCUUCGGCAAUGGACGAAAGUCUGACCAAGCAACGCCGCGUGAGUGAAGAAGGUUUUCGGAUCGUAAAACUCUGUUGGUAGAGAAGAACGUUGGUGAGAGUGGAAAGCUCACCAAGUGACGGUAACUACCCAGAAAGGGACGGCUAACUACGUG
rnacentral:rRNA from 1 species